GACGAACCGUCCAAACGUUAUUCGGAAUCACUGGGCUUACAGAGUUCGUAGGCGGUCUGGAAAGUUGGGUGUGAAAUCCCUCGGCUCAACCGAGGAACUGCGCUUGAAACUACCAGACUCGAGGGAGAUAGAGGAAAGCGGAACUGAUGGUGGAGCGGUGAAAUGCAUUGAUAUCAUCAGGAACACCGAUGGCGAAGGCAGCUUACUGGGCCGAUACUGACGCUGAGGAGCGAAAGCGUGGGGAGCGAACGGG
rnacentral:rRNA from 1 species